rnacentral:rRNA from 1 species
UACAGAGGGGGGCAAGCGUUGUUCGGAAUUACUGGGCGUAAAGGGCGCGUAGGCGGCCUGCUAAGUCGAACGUGAAAUCCCUGGGCUCAACCCAGGAACUGCGUCCGAUACUGGUUGGCUUGAAUCCGGGAGAGGGACGUGGAAUUCCAGGUGUAGCGGUGAAAUGCGUAGAUAUCUGGAGGAACACCGGUGGCGAAGGCGACGUCCUGGACCGGCAUUGACGCUGAGGCGCGAAAGCCAGGGGAGCAAACGGG